ACCAGGAUAGCUCAGUUGGUAGAGCAACGGAAUCUAAUCCGUAGGCCGCAGGUUCAACUCCUGCUCCAUUUA
rnacentral:tRNA from 3 species